AGUUGGCUCCAUUUUUUGUACCGAGAUUGCCCUUUUGAGUCUCCAAGUCAGCAGCAUCCUCGAGUCCAUGUCAGCAUCGAGCGAAAUUGAACAGCUAAAAAACACAAAAAUCAAAAUCUGAUUAUCUGAACUCGAUCAUACCAAUUUUCCCAAAACUUCAUGCUUUCAUUUUGCCCUAACCCCAUUAUGUUUCCAACCAACCACAUCCUUGUCAAAUUUGCAGACACAUAUAGCGAGUGUUUUGGGGUGAGAAAGACACGUUUUUCUAGACAUUGAGAGGAGUGAGUGACAGAGGGACUCGUUUUUGUGGGGCUGAAGGCUCAGAUUUUCUCUCUUGAGGUGAUAUUGUUCCAAUUACAUUUCAAGCUGUGAACCCAAGGCACUUUAGCGUAUACUACAGUCCAUUGGCACUCCUCCAAUGAUACUUCUUCUUUAACAAACAUUAUUGAGUAGUGCUUCUGAUGUCACAUGUACACUAAUAUUUGGGCUUUACGCCAUUGUGUGGAGGAAGAGAUUAACUUAUAGGGUGUCAAAACUUCCCAUCCCAUUUUCAACAUCAUAACAAAAGGUUACCUCAAUCUAGACAUGGCCACCAUACGCCGUAAAAGGAAAGACCAUGUUCCAACCACAUGUACCCAGACUCAAGAGCAACCAGAAAGCACAAUCCACUUUCAUGCACCAUCAAUAGCUUCGACAUCCUCAACUUGUGAUGAUGCUACUGAGGUACUUGAAGCAUGUGUCAUAGAGACAACAGAGAGUAUGCUGAGAUUGGCUUCGUCAUUAGCACGGGAUGUUGCUGCAUUACGUUCCCGGUGUUUUGGAUCUCACGACACUUGCUCAAUCUCUUGCCCACACCCAUCGCAGCAAGUUGAAGAACAAACAAGGUGUGAUAUACCGGACAUUCAGCCUUCUAUUGAAGAAUUGGUAGAACAACACAGCUUCUUGCCAAGCCCGCGGUCGUAAGUUGAAAUGGAAGCAUCAGUAGCAGCCCCUGCUUCCCAACCAGUGCCCCCAUAGUCUCAUGUAGAGUCCCCUCUUCAACCGGAAUUGGGAGUAGAAGAAGCGAUGGAAAAUGAUGGGGCAGGUGCUAGUGGCAGCCAAUCAGUCAUAUCUUCGUCUAUGCGAAGAUAUAAACGAACUGCUAAGAGGAUUGUCAAGCGUCCUUCCAUUUGCAAAUCUUCGUUUUUCAUGCAAUGCCUAAAAUAGUUCCCUAAAAUCCCACAUUAAGAUAUGGUUGUCAUUGAUUAUGCAUUGGCAGAAGAUGGUGAUCCCAGGUACAUUACUUUGUAUUUGUCAAUCAUUGUUACAGUGAUAUACUAUGUGAAGAACUUUAAAUCAGUUUCACAUAAUCCUUUUCUGACAUUGUAGUGGGGUUGUAUAUGACAUGCAUGGAAUGUACACAACAAGGGAAGAACUGUCUUGUUUAAAUGCAGGUCGGUGGGUUAAUUCUGUGUUGUUUAUCCCUGUAUGUGAAAACAAUCACUGGCACAUACAUGUGGUAAACUUUCCAAUAGGUUGAGUAGAGAUCCUAUCAUUAUUGCCACUACGUCGAGGGAACAACAUCAGUGCUUUAACGAGGCGAUUGUCACUAGCUAUCCAGAAAGCAUUGCAUGCAUAUAAAAUUCACAUGAACCUGGAGGUCUCAAGAUUUCUGCAUGUUCAACUAGAUCUUGUCCAACAAAAAAAUGGGUAAAAGAUUAUAAUAUACUUACUAAUAAACAUAUUUUUGGUCAAUUAUAUUUCUCGGAUUUCAGUCAUCUAGAUGACAAGUCUAAGUGUAACAUGUUAUAGGUAUGACUAUGGUAUCCUCGCUCUGAAGUACAUGGAAUUUUGGAAUGGGGCAACCUUAAGUACUUCAUUGGACAAGAUGCACGUUUACAAACUACAGCUGGUUGUGACAUUACUACUUAAUAAAGGGAACAUUGUUAGAGAUAAAAUUAUGGAGGUGUGUCAAUUGUGACUGCAACAAUUCCUCACAAAGUGUCAUUUUGUUAAGGUAAUCAAUAGUAUUGCACAAGAUACACUGAACAUUAUUAAGUCUCAAAGGAAUCAAUACAACCAUGCAUUAAAUUAUGUGGAUAAAGAUAACAUGCAUUAGUAAAAUAGCCAAGGCUGGAUAAAUUAGUGAAGUAUCGUUCACACUGUUCUUACAGAUAUAGAUGCACAUGCACUCAUAGUUGGGAGAUAUGUUUGGUGAAAGAAUUCAUGGAUUUCAAAACACUUGAUGAAUUGAAGUCUAUGUCCAAGAUAAGGAAACAUAAAGUGUGGAAGGAAUGGAACUUCCACAAGCUCUUGAAAGUGAGAAUUUGAUUCUUAUGAUGAUAAAGCAACCGAGAAGGAAGCUUGACAUGGAGUCACUCAUAAUACUUUCAAUAGAUUCCUUUAUGUCGGUGCUCGUAGGUUUGCUCAAUCAUGAGAACAAUCCCGAUAUUAUGUUUCUUGUACUCGGGCAUUGACCCAUUUAUGUGAUGAGUUGCCUUCUUCAUGUGCAACAGUAGUGCAUCAUGGUGCAGUUUCAUGUUUUUAUGCUUGAUUACUCACAAUAGAGUAUGCGGACUUGGCUAAACAGUUUUUGCAAGCUCUUAAGAAGACAUCUUAGGAAUACCCAAUUGCCUGCUUAUGAGCUAGAGGACUCUUGGAAGCACUUUCAUAUAUGGGUUUCUUCUCCAUGGAGGUCCAGCGAGUGGCCUUGUCUACUACUAAAAAUAUGUGUAAGAAACUCUUUUUUGUUGCAACUGAAAUUAGACUAUUUUCGAAAGUAAUGAGGAUAUGAAGUCUCUUCAAAUAUUUCAGCAUGAACUACUUCGAAACUGUUCAAUAAUUACAUUUCCAUAAGAUUCUUAUCAUCAUGACCACCAUACCCAUUUUCCUCAUUAGCACCACCUUCAGCUUCAUUCAUACUUACCAAUCUGCAACCUAUGUGUGGACCCG